UACAGAGGGUGCAAGCGUUAAUCGGAAUUACUGGGCGUAAAGCGCGUGUAGGCGGCCCUGCAAGUCGGAUGUGAAAUCCCACGGCUCAACCGUGGAAGUGCAUUCGAAACUGCAGGGCUAGAGUCCUGGAGAGGAAGGUGGAAUGCUUGGUGUAGAGGUGAAAUUCGUAGAUAUCAAGCGGAACACCGGUGGCGAAGGCGGCCUUCUGG
rnacentral:rRNA from 1 species